rnacentral:rRNA from 1 species
GAUGAACGCUGGCGGCGUCCCUAAUAAAUGCAAGUCGAGCGAACAGACGAGGAGCUUGCUCCUCUGACGUUAGCGGCGGACGGGUGAGUAACACGUGAAUAACCUACCUAUAAGACGGGGAUUACUUCGGGAAACCGGAGCUAAUACCUGAUAAUAUAUUUAACCGCACGGUUCAAUAGAAAAAGACGUUUUUUCUGUCACUGAUAGAUGGAUCCGCGCCGCACUAGCUAGUUGGUAAGGUAACGGCUUACCAAGGCAAAAAUGCGUAACCGACAUGAGAGGGUGAUCGGCCACACUGGAACUGGAACAGGGUCCAGACUCCUACGGGGGGCACCAGAGGGGAAUCUUCCGCACUGGGCGAAAGCCUGACGGGGCAACGCGGCGGGAGUGAUGAAGGUCUUCGGAUCGUAAAACUCUGUUAAUAGGGAAAAACAAAUGUGUAAGUAAAUAUGCACGUCUUGACGGUACCUAAUCAGAAAGCCACGGCUAACUACGUG